rnacentral:rRNA from 1 species
CCUACGGGCGGCAGCAGUGAGGAAUAUUGGUCAAUGGGCGCGAGCCUGAACCAGCCAAGUCGCGUGAGGGAUGACGGUCCUACGGAUUGUAAACCUCUUUUGCCGGGGAGCAAGCGUGCGUUCGUGAACGCGCGUCCAGAGUACCCGGAGAAAAAGCAUCGGCUAACUCCGUGCCAGCAGCCGGGGUAAUACGGAGGAUGCGAGCGUUAUCCGGUUUUAUUGGGUUAAAGGGGUGCGUAGGCGGGUUGCCAAGUCGGCGGUAAAUAUGCGGUGCUAAACUCCGUCGGGCCGUUGAAACUGGCGUUCUUGAGUGGGCGAGAGGUAUGCGGAAUGCGUGGUGUAGCGGUGAAAUACAUAGAUAUCACGCAGAACUCCGAUUGCGAAGGCAGCAUACCGGCGCCCUACUGACGCUGAGGCACGAAAGCGUGGGUAUCGAACAGGAUUAGAUACCCGAGUAGUC